rnacentral:sRNA from 1 species
GCUAGGUGCAGUGAUGCACACCUGUAAUCCCAGUGGCUUGGGAGGCUGAGGGAGGAGGAUUACGAGUUCAAAGCCAGCCUCAGCAAAAGUGAGGUGCUAAGCAACUCAGUGAGACCCUGUCUCUA